rnacentral:rRNA from 1 species
AAAGCACUUUCAGUCGUGAGGAAGGUAGUGUAGUUAAUAGCUGCAUUAUUUGACGUUAGCGACAGAAGAAGCACCGGCUAACUCCGUGCCAGCAGCCGCGGUAAUACGGAGGGUGCGAGCGUUAAUCGGAAUUACUGGGCGUAAAGCGCAUGCAGGUGGUUUGUUAAGUUCAGAUGUGAAAGACCCGGGGCGUCAACCUCGGAAUAGCAUUUGAAACUAGGCAGACUAGAGUACUGUAGAGGGGGUAGGAAUUUCAGGUGUAGCGGUGAAAUAGCGUAGAGAUCUGAAGGAAUACCGGUGGCGAAGGCGGCCCCCUCGGACAGAUACUGACACUCAGAUGCGAAAGCGUGGGGAGCAAACAGGAUUAGAUACCCUGGUAG